AGAGCGACCUAGUUGGAGGGCCGCCGUCAACCGCGCUGCAGCCAAAGUGCGCCCAGUGAGCUGCAGUGAGGAGGAGAACGCGUCGCGGGAGGAGAGGGUGUGGAGGGAGGGGAGGAUGAGAGAGGGGGUUAUAGUGACAGUCGAAGGAGGAUGUCGUCACGCGAUCCGUACGGAGGCGGCCUAAGCGCCGUCGGCUCGGGGGGAACUCGCUCGCCAAGGAGCAGCAGGCGGCUGGGGGAGUUGCCCACCGUCGACCGCUCGCCGUCCAGGAACUAUCCGGGAGCUGGCAUAGGCGGCGGCGGUCGCGCCAGUCCGACGGGUGGCAGACGCCGCGGCACGUCGCCCGACCGUGGCGGUGCUGUCUACGGUCAGUCGAUGAACUCGCCGUAUUACGCGCGCGGCCCCGCCGACGACGAGGGGGCGGCCAGUCCGGGUGCGGUGGACGACCGACGCCACCACCGGUCGCGCAGUGCCAGUCGGCCGCCCCCUGGCUCAGCGUCGCACCCAGCCGCGUCGGUGCGCUACCAGUCGCUCGACCGAGCCGCAGUCGAGGAGCGCGACUUCCUAUCUGCGCGUGACCGCAGCCUCGAACGCGCUGCCGCUCGCGAACGCUCCCUCGACCGUGGCGUCUAUUUGGAGGAUGAGUUGUACGGCGGACGAUCCGCUCGCCAAUCGCCCCGCGACCCCAACAUCGGCGGGGGCGGCGGCGCUGGAGGCGGCUACCUGGGUGAACUGCAGCACCAGAACACCGACCUGCAGCGCGAACUGGCCAACCUGAAGAAGGAGCUUGAGCUCACCAACCAGAAGCUCGGCUCCAGCAUGCACAGCAUUAAGACCUUCUGGAGUCCUGAGCUGAAGAAGGAGCGUGCCCUCAGGAAGGAGGAGUCGGCCAAGUACAGUCUCAUCAACGACCAACUCAAGCUUCUCAACUCUGAAAAUCAGAAACAAGCAAUGCUGGUGAGACAACUAGAGGAGGAGCUGCGUUUGCGCAUGCGCGGCCCGAGUCUAGAAAUGCAACAGCAAAUGGAAGUGCUCUAUGCCGAGAACGAACACCUAACCCGAGAAAUCGCUAUUCUCAGGGAAACAAUAAAGGAGUUAGAGUUACGAAUAGAAACUCAGAAACAAACUCUACAAGCACGUGAUGAAAGUAUCAAGAAGCUGCUUGAAAUGCUUCAGAACAAAGGAGUCGGUGGUAAAAUGGUAGAUGCUGACCAAUCUAAGACGCAGUUAGAGGCCAGACUGGUAGAGAAUGAGAGUGUGAUUCGCCAUUAUGAAACGGUGGUGAGGAAUCGGGAUCAAGAACUCAAUAUGACGAAGCGUGAGUUGAAAGCAACAAAUGAAGCGCUAAGAGCGCUGCAACAGCAGCUAGAAAAAGCGCUGCACAAUCAGAGUAUGGUGGGUCCCACGAACAGUACAUUGACCGCGAUUCUGGAAACCAAGGAUGCAAGGAUUGCAACUCUGGAGAAGGAGGUUCGCCUCCUGGAACAGGAGCUGGGCAGGUUGCAGGGAGGGGGACAGGGGCAGGAUGCGUCCCCCCUCCUUGACCUUGACCUGCACUCGCCACUAGCGCUAGCUGUGUUGGGAACUGGCACUAGUGCCACUGGCCUAAAGCACCAACCAACAUGGAAUCAGCUGGAUGAGUUCAGAGCAGAGCUGCAGCGUCGCGACCAGGAGAUCUUGGCGAUGAGCGCAAAAAUGAAAACACUCGAGGAACAACACCAGGACUACCAGAGGCACAUUGCUGUGCUCAAGGAGUCUCUGUGUGCCAAGGAGGAACACUACACCAUGCUUCAAGCUGAUGUGGAAGAGUUACGUCAACGGUUAGAGGAGAAGAAUAGAUUAAUAGAGAAGAAAACGCAGGCUGCCGUCAACGCUAGCCAAGAUCGAAACCGCAUCAAUAAUGAGCUCAACGAAAUCAGAGAUCACAUGGACAUAAAAGACAGGAAAAUCAAUGUUCUCCAGAGAAAAAUCGAAAAUCUCGAGGACCUGCUGAAGGAGAAGGACAACCAGGUGGACAUGGCGAGGGCGCGGCUGACUGCGAUGCAGGCGCACCACUGCUCCAGCGAGGGGGCGCUGUCCAGUCUGGAGGAGGCCAUCGGAGACAAGGAGAAGCAGAUGAACCAGCUGAGGGAGCAGAGGGACAGGGCUGAACAGGAGCGGCAGGAGGAACGCGAGUUGCAUGAGCGCGACAUCGCUGAGUACAAGUUGAAGCUGCACGCCAUGGAGAGUGAGGUGGAGAAGUUGACUGCACGUGUGGAGAGAGCACAAGCGGAGAAGGAUCGUCUGGAGGCGAGGCUGGAAAGCUCCCAAUCCGAACUGGGUAAAUCGAAAGCGGAGUUGGAUAAGGCGGCUAAUGAAGUUGGCAGAAGUGGAGCAGAUUGGGAGGCUGCAAAGCAACGGUUGGCGAGGUUGGAGCUUGAGAACGAACGCUUGAAACACGACCUGGAACGUUCGCAGACAACGUUCGGCCGCAGCACGCUGUCCACCUCCCAAGAACUCGAUCGCAUACAGGAACGCGCCGAAAAAGCGACCGCCGAACUGCGCCGCGCCCAGGCCGAGCUGCGCGUCACUCAGGCCGACAACGACCGCGCUCGCGCCGAAGCCGCUGCGCUCCAGGAAAAGGUGGAGAAGUCGCAGGGCGAAAUCUACCGCCUCAAAGCCAAACUGGAGAACGCGCAGGGCGAGCAGGAGAGUCUGCGUGAAGAGUACGACCGCGCGCAGACGUCCGUCAACCGACUGCACGUGGAACGCGACAAGGCGGUCUCCGAGUUGGAGAAGGCGCGCGAGGAGCUCGAACGCACGCAGGCCACCCUUGGCAAGGCGCAGCUGCAGCAGGAGAAGCUGCAGAACUGCCUCGACAAGGCGCAGACCGACGUCGACAAGCUCCAGGAGAAACUCGACAAGUCGACCGGCGAGAUCAGGCGGAUGCAAAUGGAGAAAGAAAAACAGAACUACGACUUUGAGAAUAUCCAAUCGCAACUGGACAAAUCACUUGGACAGGCAACCAGACUGCAGAAAGAGAAAGAAACUUGCCAACUAGAAGCCGACCGGUUGAGAGACAAAUUCGAGAAGAAUCAGAUGAUUUUGGCGCGAUUACAAAAAGAAAGAGACCAAUAUCACGAGGAGUGCGAGAAGUUGCAGGAGCGCAUCGAACUGCAACAGAGUCAGGUGUCAAAAGCCCAGCGCGACAGAGAUAGCAUGCACACCGAACUUGACGUGUUCAAAGAACGCUGGGAAAAGUCCCAGCAGAACCAGCAGAAGAUGCAGAUGGAAAGGGACGAUAUGUUGACUGAGGUUGAGAUUCUUAAAGAGAAACUUGAAAAGAAUCAGAUGAUACUCCAGAAGGCCUUGGAAGACAAAGACACUGCCAACAAGGAGUUCGAGCGAAUGUUGGAGAAAUAUGAUAGGAAUCAGAACGAGGUGUAUCGCCUUCAAACAAGACUGGAAACAGCAGAAACCGAAAAAGAUCGCAUCGAAAUGGAAGUUGAGAAAGCUCAGCUGCUCGCCACCAAGUCCCGUGAAGAACAACGUAAGCUGCAAGACGAAAUGCAACGCCUGCAAGAAAUGUACGACAGAGCCAUUCUGCAACUGGGCCGGACAAAGGAGAACGAAGACAAGUUCAAAGAGGAUAUGGACAGGAUGGCUGUUGAUUGCGAGAUGAUGAGAGAACGCUACGAUAAAUCACAGAUCGAAAUGAGGCGAAUCCAGGCUGAGAGAGAUAAACUGCAGGCAGACACUGAUAGAAUGACUUUCGAGUUGGAACGAGCUCACGCUCAGAGCGCUAAGGCACAGACCACUCAUGAGAAGAGCCAAGAAGAAAUGGCGAGAAUGUCGAUAGAACUGGAGAAAAUGUAUGAUAAGCAAGAUAAGCUGCAGGCUGAACUUCGCAAGGCUCAAAUGGAGCUGGACAGACACCGAACAGAGGCCGAGUCGCUGCGAGAGGAGGCAGAGAGGUAUGCGGCGCGCGCUGGCAAGUAUCAGGACACGCAAGAGCGCAGCAAGGAGGAAAUGGAGAGGCUGCGAGAGACCACCGAACUGUUAAGAGGUAAAUAUCAAAUCGAACAGGAAAGAAGUGAAAAGUUGGCUCAGGCCAACGAGAAGCUGGAGAGUCGGUACCAUGAAGUACAGCUCGAGCUGGAGUUGUCAAGGGCUGAAGUCACCAAACUCAUAGAGUCGCAAGAGAAGCAUCACAUAGAUCUUGAGAGACUGCACAUUGAGUGCGAGAAAGUACGAGACAGACAAGAAAAACUUCAAAUAGAAAACGAUCGACUCAGAGCAGAACUAGCAGGAAAGGGUGGAGCCGAUCUAGAAACAGAGAGACUCCGGGAGAAGCUAGACAAGACACAACAGUCACGUGAAAAACUCGAAAUUGAACUUGGAAAACUGUCAAGAGAAUUAGAAAGGCUCCAAUCAGACAAUGAUCGACUCAGGUCAGAGCUGGGAGGAAGAGCUAGCUCAGGAGAGGCUGAGUUGGAUAGGCUAAGAGACAGGAUGGAGAAAAUCCAACAGGCCAAGGAUAAGGCAGAAAUGGACUGUAGCAGACUCACUAGAGAAUUAGAAAAAUCACAAAUGCACCUUGGAAAAUAUCAGGAGAAUAACGAAGCAGCUCAAAUAGAGUUCCAGAAGAUGAAUACUGACCUAUCAAAGAUGCAUGAGAAACUAGAGAAAGCUCAGACUGAAUCACAUAGGCUGGCUGAAGACAAGAUUCAUCUAGAAACAGAGCUGCAACAAACAAAACGAGCCCUAGAACAACAAAUGUCCUCACUGCAAAGUGCAGAUCAUCGGUUGAGAGAAGAUACAGCUAAAGUACAGCAAGAAUUGAAUCAGGCGAUAAGAGAUAAAGAGAGAAUGGUUUCCAUUGUGGAGAAGAGAGAGAAGCAUCUAGAGAAGGUUGAAGCUCAGAUGGCAAAGAUGGAGUCUGAGUGGAAGCAGCUGACAUUAGAGCGUGAUCAGUUGGUUAUCCAGCUUGAAAAGUCGCAAGAUAUGUUGAUGACAUUCCAGCAAGAGCUACAAAUGUCUGAGGCGCAGCUGGAGAAAGAAAGAGAUGAGGUGACAAAACUGAAACAAGAACAGAGAAGAGUGUUAGCUGAGAAGUCGGGUAGUAAAGAUGGCUUUGAGCGGGAGAUGGCUAAACUGCAACAAACUAUGCAGAGCAAAGAUCAGGAGUUGAGUAAUUUGCAGCAGAGUUUGCAGGCGAAGGAUAGGGAACUGACCAAGUUCCAACAGCAGUUGCAGCAGUUUGGUAAGGCUCAAGAACAGGAGCAGGUUCAGUGGCAGAAGGCGGUGGAGCAGGAGCGGAUGAGGGCUGAUGAGCUGCAGAAGCAGCUGCAGAUGAUGCAGUCGCAGCAGACUGGGGCGCGUGAUGAGGUGCACAAGCGAGUGCAGGCACUUGAGAAGCAGCUGCAGGCAGUGCAGUCUGAGUACAAGGAGACCAGAGACGCGCUCACCAAAAAGAAUCAGAUGCUCGAGAAGCAGCUGCAGUCGCAACAGGCGGGAGCGUCUGGUGCCAAGGAAGACGUGCAGCGGCUGCUGUCUGAGCUGGAUAAGGCGCAGGCAGAGCUGAAGAACGCUGCUGUUGAGAGAGAGCGGUUCCAGGCGCAGCUUGAGAUGCUCGUUCAGGAGCUCGAGAAGAACCAGCUCGAUCUGCACGAGGCCAACAAGAAGCUGGCAGCUGGCGCAGCGAAAGCUGGCGAAGAAAGUAGUGCGCUCAAGAAACAGCUGGAAGAACAGAAACGUCAGCUGGAGGAUCAGCGACGCAAGCUGGAGGAGCACCGCAAAGGAGUCGACAUCAGGGUGAAGCAGCUCGAGGAGAAGGAGAAGUCGAUAGCUGACUUGGAACUCAAGUUGAAGAAGAGGAAAGAAAAGAUGGAUCAGCUCGAAGCGCAAAUGCAACAGCGGGCAGCGGCAGGCGAUACGGGUGGAGGGGAGGGCUUUGCCAGAGUGCAGGAGGAGGUGAAUGCGCUGCGUCAACAGCUGGACAAGUCGCAGGAGGAUGCCAGGCGCUCGCAGGAAGAGAUGGAGAGGCUGCUGCAGCUGGUGCAGAUGAGUCAGGAGGAGCAGAAUUCCAAGGAGAAGACGAUACGCGAAUUACAAGAAGCACUAAAAAAUGCACAAGCAAAAAUGAGAAGCCAACAAACUGCCAAUGCACAAAGGGAACAACAAAGAAAAGCAGAGGAGGCUGGUCCCGCUGGCUUCUUAAAAAGUUUAUUUUAAUUGAAACUCUUCCUUGUAUAGGUAAAUUCAAAGUUAUUGCUUUUCAGUAUGUACUGCAUAAACUUAUUUUUAUUGUUAACUGACGAAGCGUGUUUAUUCCGUUAUUAAACUGUUGAUAAUAUUAUUAUAUUACUUUUUAUACAGAAUUUACAAUCGUAGGUAUUGUUGAUAGAAUAAAUGAAAUGCAUUUGGCAGAAAAUUUUGAGCUGGCUAAAAGUGUUGCAAGAAGGAUUCGAUUCCACAAUUGAAUUUUCCUUUUUUGUUCGGUCCGGUGUUUUUAUGAUUUUUUUAUAAUUUACUUUUGUUUGAUUCUGUUGAAAUAUUGGUUUGUGACCCGAUUCCUGGCCUUAUCCUCUCCCACCUUAGAUUGAAGUGACCGGAACAGAGCCGAGCAAAUUUGAAGAGGCCGAGUUUCAAGAUCUACUUGGCGUGAUCGAGCUGAAAGAGGAGCGAAUAGCUGAACUGGAAGAGGCGUUGAGAGAGAGUGUACGCAUCACUGCAGAGCGAGAGAGAGGACUCAUACAAGAGGAAUCUCGCAGGAAGCAUAUCAUGGAAAAGGUUGGCAAACUGGAGCAGCGGCUGUUGUCACUGCAGACAGCGCAUGCGCUGCGCUGCAGCACCUGUCGGCCUCUGCUGACGCGUAUGCACCAUCUGGAGAGGCGGCUCACUCAGCUGCUACAGGAACGCACCGAUCACAUACAGGAGUUGGCUCACAUGAAACAAGAAGCGUUGGAAGCUGCGAUUAGCGAGAAAGAUGCUCACCUGGCGCUGCUGGAAGUGGGUGGCAUCCGCAACGCCAGGCAGGCCGAACAAGCACAAGUAUUGAAAUCGGAUCGAGACCGACUGAUGGCAAGACUGAAAGAAGAGACUGAGUUGAGUAUACAGCUAUUACAAGAAUACUCUCCGCCCUCCCCAAUCGACAUCGACAUCGAUGGAAACGUCAGCCCAACCAGUUGCUCUGUUACCGGACUCACACUAACGAUGGUGGAUAGUGAAGGCUUUGAUGAGAAGACUGGAUCGGACUUCAGCUUAUGAAUUCUUCAUACUUCUCCUAGAAUGGAUUCUGUUAUCAUCUGUUGGCUUCUCUUGAACCUCUGAACUUGAUUUUCCAGCACAGAAUUUUCUGCAAAUCCUUUUGUUGGAAACUUGUAUGCGAAAUUAAGAAAAGCGCACAAGAUUGAAGAUGUUUAUGUUGUUGCUUUUUUGGAAUUAAGAACUUUUCUGAUCCUCUAGACUCCGUUGUAACAGCAAGUGCCACACAAAAUAAUGAUAAAUUGAGUGUAAAUAACGUGUACCUAUAAUAUCAGCUGCAGUGCGUAUCUGUUCUUCUGAGUGGUGUUUGUGAUUUUCUAUAAAAAGUUCAAAAUUUGCGAUCAGUGCUAGAAGCUAACGUGUAAAUAAAUAUUGUUAUAUUCGACUUGAAACUUGAGAGCGUUUGAACGUUGCGAUUCUCUGUCACAGAUAAACUGAACUAACUGAUAAAUUGUGAUGUUGAAAAUUUUUCGUUCAUUUCGGUAGUUUAGUGUGAGACUUUAUGAUAGCAAUAAAGCCAUGUGAAUAAUACUAACGACUAGGAUAAUAAUUUAGACUAUUUGGAUGUUGAAGCUGGCCAUCAGCGUUACGUUUGUUAUUCAUCGUGUAAUAAUUCAUUAGUUUACCCACAAUGUAAAUUGAAUGCUGACAAUAAUUAUUUCAGCUGCUGUAUCAAAAUAAAGUGCAUCUAAAUCCGAUCAGGAAAAUGCUUGUUGAUAUAAAUUUGUGUGAUCGACCAGCUACGAUCAGUAAUGCUUGUUAUUGUUAAGUGAAGGGAGUGCAUUUGUUGCUAUAGCCUUUUAUAAUAUACUGGGGCCAAAAAUAGAAAAUUGGCAUUCUUUUUUUAUCUAUUGAGUAAUUUACUAGUGAACCUCCAGGUUCAAUAGCAUUUUUAUCACAUUCCAUUUUCUCUAUUCAGGUCUGAUUGAUUAUCUACAAUUUCGAAUAAAAUAACAUAGUUUCAAUUUUGUUUAAUCACUGCUACAUUAAGCUAACACAUAUUUUGACAUUCUGUCAGUUCUCAUUUGACUUGCUUUGUUGAAUAACUCAUAAUUCGAAUAGUGCGAAAUCAUAAUUUUCCACAAAAUAAUAUAAUACAUCAGUUCUCUUGUGCUUUUUUCUGCUCAUCUGGAAGCUAGUUCUAUUGGCUUCAUUAUUCUGCUCAUUUCAUAAAUUUUCAGAUCAAUAAUUUCAUUUUAAACUGGAUUCAAUCUCACCCCAAUCAUUGUAAUUAUUAAAAUUUAUUAAUAAUAAUUGAAAAAAUAAAAACUUCAUAGAUUUCGCCCAUUCAACUUGUAACUCACAUUUUCAUCGUAAACAGUAUUAAUGCAUUAUCGAUCAUAAAGUGAAAAAAUCUAUUUUUGAAAUGUUGAUCAAAAUCAAUUCCAGAAAAGGUUUGGUUCCAUCUGUUGUAAUAGAUGUGCUUUUAAAGGAAUAUCCUGAAUUCUGUUAUUGAUUCAUUUUAACCAAAACGAAUGAUAUACUAGACUGUUUCCAAUCGAUAACUAAAUUCAAUCAUUUCAGGAUAAAAUUUUCGUUUUUUCACCUUUGCUUGUAGUUAUUUUGAGCCGUAUCAGUUGCGAAGCAAAAAUGAAUGUGUGGAAUCCAAUAACAUGUAGAUUCAAAUGAUCAUCAUUUCCGACAAUAAUUUUUCAUUCAUGGUUAAUUAGCAUUUCCUAAUUUAUCUUCGGAAUGUUGUGAAUUGUAUUAGAAUCAACUAGAAUGUGUCCCCAGAUAAAGACAACAAUUUCGAUCAACACUCUUCUGCAAUCGGCUAUUUCUGAUCAAGCUGACAUUUAAUCUCAUAAUAUCUCUAAAACAGAAUAUUCACUUACUAUGGGUAGUUUCUAAUCAUGUAAUAUUUCGUGUAUCUGAAAUGAUUUGGCCUACUUGUGUUCACGUAUCUUAAAUUUAUGAAUAAAUAUAUGCAUAAGAACAAUUAUAUAAUAUUAAUAAAUGUUAUACAUAAGCAGACGCUGCCAUGUUUGUGUGAAUUUCAACAUGACAAACUAAUAAUAACAAAUAAUACAACUCAUAGAAGGAUCUGUAUCGUUGUUGAGUUGAAAUAUCAGCAUCCUUUGAAAACUCCAAAUAAAACAAUAACCAGAAUCGCGAAACAUUAAUAAUAUCUAUCUUAAAGUUGUUUUGUCCUUUCUGUAUUUCUGACUGAUUGGACUUUGGCAUCACCUUUGCUUAUUACUAAACCUUAUCUAUCAUUCGAAUCUAAAAACAUGUAAUUCAACGAUCAUUCAAUUCUCUAUAAAUUGUUUUACCAAAAAUAUCCUUUAAAAAUAUUGUAUGUACAAUCGUCUAAAAUACUGUAAUAACAUCCAUGUUCAAUCAAGUGAUUAACAACGCCUCUCUUUCUCUUAGCCACAUGAUUUAAUCAUGAAUCGACCUCAUUGCCACAACAUCAAGCGUGCGACAUAUAAUUUAGAAUUUACUACUGUUGAUAAUGGACAUAAUGCUUUGAUACCAAAUCUAUGAAUCCUUCAAAUUCAGCAGAAUAUUAUAGACAACUAGACUUUUACGGCAUUUCUAAUAUUAUCCGCAAAUUGAAUGUUUCCUAGUAGCAAAAUAUUAUUUUCGAAUCCAGUAGGAUAAAUGUGAAUCUAUUACAAUGCUGAGUAAUGUUGUUAUAGUUAUGAUGUUGAUGACAAUUUUGAAAAUGUUAGUGAAGUCAAGUACGGUAGGUCUAUCUACCUAUCAAUAAGAGACCUGCGUAUUGAUGAGUUUUAAUAGUACCUACCUAACGCUGUACCAUUUCAAUGUAGAGAUCUUUCAUAAGAAGUUCUGAUUUGUAAUUAAUAUAGAGCUAUUUUAAACGGACAUUUAGAGUGAACUUAUAGAUGUUUAUAUCCGUUAAUCUACUUCGUAUGUCGGAGAUAAUAUAAUUAUAUGUACGCCUUCUACUUAAAUGAAUGACAUGAAACCAUGUUGGAUAUUACCACUUUCCCAUGAUAGAUAUGUUAUGUUAGCAUAUGUAAAUUUAUUGUUGUUGCAUAAGUCUUAUAUGUUAAUAGAUAAAUUGUAUGGCUACUGGCACCUGAUAGUUAAAACAGUUAAUACUGAUACAAAAUAUCUCAUUUUUUAUCAAGUUAUUUUGGAAACUAGUAAUGAUGAAAUGCUUUUUUGUUUUCCAUUAUUUCCGUACGGUACUGGGAGAAGAAUAUCGAACAAAUCAUCAAUACAUUUUGAUUGAUUAGAAACUGAUUAAUUUCAUACAUAUAUACCCUAAAUAUUCUAAUUUUCAGUAUCCAUAGAAUGAUUAUAACGGGUUGAUUUCUUACAUCAAACCUAAUAAUCAAACAAUAAUUUUAAAAUCCACAACUCUCAAAAUUCGAACCUCACACGACUUUUUAUGAAAUUUUCCCUGAGUUUGAUUACUAAUAAUAUUUAUUAAUCAAGUUUACAUAAACUAAUUAGUAAUUGUUUUUUAGUUCACAAAAAUUAGCUGCAGCCUCUUGAAGUCUUCAACUUAAUCUAAACUACAAAUUCUCUCAUUAAAAGUCUAUAACCGUUUAAAAAGUCUGCAUUUCAUUAUCAGCAAUAGUACAGUAUACAGAUGUACAUGUGCAGAUUACGCCUUACUGUUAUUAAUAAUUAUUAACCGAAUUAUUCUUUCACUGUAUAAUUCCUACUAUUGUAAAGCGAUGUAAAUGAUUUAAAAAAUUAAAUAAAUAAUUAUUAUUGAUUUGAGAAUAAACUUCUUAUGAUUCCGAAAAGAUAAAAACAGAGAUAACGCAAGACAAGUCAAGUAGGUAAUUGAGAAUAGUAGUAUUACGAGAGUGAGUUUUCCGAUGUCUUAUCCCAUCUUCUAAAAUUUCUGUUUGAGAAUGAAAAAUAUAUCUAUCUCUUGCCGUUAUUUGUUACCAUAAUACAUUUAAAAAUGGUUGUAAUUAAUGAUGGUUUAUUGUUAUUGUUGUUGAAUCGUUCAUGAAAAUCUAUGUUUUUAUAUCUUCAACGUUUAUUAUCAGCCAUACAAACUGUCCUAUUGAAAGUUAGACCUAAUGAGCUUACAUUGUAAUGAUGUAAGUGACUUGAUUAAGUGUAAGAACUAUCGACAAGCCUUUCUCUCCCUUAGUAAGAAUUUAAUGGAAUGUAAUAAUGGAUGUCUUCAGUAAUACAAUAAUGAAUGCUUAUUGGGUGUAACAUUAUGCUAUUGACAAUAUUGCCUGCAAUAUAUUCUAUAUAAAUCAAUUCUAUUGGAAUGAAUAAAAUCAGACUCCAGCUAUCUAAAAUAUAAUUUUACAUUCAAUGCUGGAAUGUAUAGAAAUUACUUGUUGUCUUUGAAAUAAAUCUCGUAAGAUACAAUUUGGCUGUUUUGUUCUGUCAUCUAUGUCAAAGCUUGUAUGUCUAUUAAAGUUCUUAUGUAUGCUAUGUGACUGAAUCACAUGUAAAUUUAGAAAAGAACGAUUUAUGAAUAAUAUAUAUAUAUUUAUAUAUAAGUAUGGAAGUUCAGAUUAGCAGUUCUAUAUCAUUCAUUCAAUCAUAUCACAGCGUUUUUAAACGACUGAUAGAUCUAGAUUUAAGUCGGUUUUGUUUAUGGCAAUUUAAUUGAACAGUUUCAUAAGCCGCGGUUCUAAUCUAAGUUGUGUUGUAUUCUUGGAUUAGGAUACAGACUUACACGAUCAGAUAUUCUGUGAUAUAUUUUUGUUCACCUGUACCUUAGAAUCAUUUUGACAUUGAUCAGUACAUUUAUACAUUUAGACGCAUCAAUGUGUAAUGUUCUAUUAAAGUUCAAUUUUUCCUUUUGACAACCACAAUACAAUAUUUUCUCUCUAGUAUGAUGAAUGCACAUGCUCGAUCGUUUUACCAGUAGUACUAAAAAGUGGUCGAGCUUUUCCUUAUUCAAAUUACAGUUUCAUUUAGAAAACUUCUGUUACCCCGACAGAACAAAAGUAAUGGUUGACAGUAUAUUGUUACUUUAGAAUUUAUAUGUUUUACAAGUAUGUCAACUUGUUUGGCUUAAUAAAGCUCCACGUUAAAACAAAUACAAA